UGCCACGCUGGACCGUGAGUAUCGAGGGCAGUCGAUCUUGUUGCGAUCGGCCGACUUACGGGAAGGCGCAACGGCGUUCCAGGAGCGCCGCGCGCCGA
rnacentral:tRNA from 1 species